AUCAGCUUAUUUUUCAAAACAUUGUGAAAAUCUAUCCUGCUGUAAAGUAUUGUACAAAUUAAGAUCAAAAGAAAGGGAAAUUUGUAAAUUGAAAAAAAAAUUAAUGACACAUAGACAUCUUUUUUAUAGAUCACAUGUGUUUUCAAAAGUAUAAAGUAAUAGUGGUUCAAAAAUGAAAUUAUCUUGUAGCACAGUCAGCUACUUUUUACACAAAACACCUGAAUUUAAAAGUCAUUAUCUAAGGGUUGAUGCCCCAAAUUAUGAGGCU